UACGGGAGGCAGCAGUGGGGAAUAUUGCACAAUGGGGGAAACCCUGAUGCAGCGACGCCGCGUGAGCGAAGAAGUAUUUCGGUAUGUAAAGCUCUAUCAGCAGGGAAGAAAAUGACGGUACCUGACUAAGAAGCCCCGGCUAACUACGUGCCAGCAGCCGCGGUAAUACGUAGGGGGCAAGCGUUAUCCGGAUUUACUGGGUGUAAAGGGAGCGUAGACGGNGCAGCAAGUCUGAUGUGAAAACCCGGGGCUCAACCCCGGGACUGCAUUGGAAACUGUUGNUCUGGAGUGCCGGAGAGGUAAGCGGAAUUCCUAGUGUAGCGGUGAAAUGCGUAGAUAUUAGGAGGAACACCAGUGGCGAAGGCGGCUUACUGGACGGUAACUGACGUUGAGGCUCGAAAGCGUGGGGAGCAAACAGGAUUAGAUACCCUGGUAGUCCACGCCGUAAACGAUGANUACUAGGUGUCGGGGGNCAAAGCCCUUCGGUGCCGCCGCNAACGCANUAAGUAUUCCNCCUGGGGAGUACGUUCGCAAGAAUGAAACUCAAAGGAAUUGACGG
rnacentral:rRNA from 1 species